rnacentral:rRNA from 1 species
ACGCCGUAAACGAUGAUUACUCGUUGUGCACAAUACACCGUGCGUGACCGAGCGAAAGCAUUAAGUAAUCCACCUGGGGAGUACGUUCGCAAGAAUGAAACUCAAAGGAAUUGACGGGGGCCCGCACAAGCGGAGGAACAUGUGGUUUAAUUCGAUGAUACGCGAGGAACCUUACCUGGACUUAAAUGCAGAUUGACCGGCUUAGAAAUAGGUCUUCUCUUCGGAGCAAUCUACAAGGUGCUGCAUGGUUGUCGUCAGCUCGUGCCGUGAGGUGUCGGGUUAAGUCCCAUAACGAGCGCAACCCCUAUCGUUAGUUGCUAGCAGGUAAUGCUGAGGACUCUAGCGAGACUGCCACCGUAAGGUGAGAGGAAGGUGGGGAUGACGUCAAAUCAGCACGGCCCUUACGUCCAGGGCUACACACGUGUUACAAUGGCCAGUACAAAGGGCAGCUACCAGGCGACUGGAUGCUAAUCUCAAAAGCUGGUCUCAGUUCGGAUCGGAGUCUGCAACUCGACUCCGUGAAGUUGGAUUCGCUAGUAAUCGUAGAUCAGCAAUGCUACGGUGAAUACGUUCCCGGGCCUUGUACACACCGCCCGUCAAGCCAUGGAAGCCGAGAGUGCCUGAAGUACGUUACCGCAAGGAGCGUCCUAGGGUAAAAUUGGUAACUAGGGCUAAGUCGUAACAAGGUA